rnacentral:rRNA from 1 species
CAGCCGCCGCGGUAAUACGAGGGGGGCAAGCGUUGUUCGGAAUUAUUGGGCGUAAAGGGUGCGUAGGCGGUUUGGCAAGUCUUGUGUGAAAUCUUCGGGCUCAACCCGAAGCCUGCACGAGAAACUGCCGGGCUUGAGUAUUGGAGAGGUGAGUGGAAUUCCUGGUGUAGCGGUGGAAUGCGCAGAUAUCAGGAGGAACACCGAUGGCGAAGGCAGAUCUCUGGGCCGUAACUGACGCUGAGGAGCGAAAGCAUGGGGAGCGAACAGGAUUAGAUACCCGAGUAGUCCCUGUCUCUUAUAC